rnacentral:lncRNA from 1 species
UGAUGAUGAUGCAGGAAAAGGACCUUCAACACUUCCUGACAAAAAACCAGGAGUCAAAGCAACAGGAACUAGUUCAUCAGCCAGUACUGACUCCUUUCACCUAAAGGACCUUCGUGGCCUAAGGAAGGAUUACACUUGUGACCUGAUGAGUCUGUAAUUAGUUGGUUGGUCCGUCUUUAGGAUGCUGCAGGUGAGGCGACAAUUCUGGACGGCACUGAAGCAAGACAUUUGGGAUCCCUCACAUGAUAAUGUCAUGGACCAAGGAAUGAUGAGGGGGCGAACCCUCACAGCCUCUGGGCUGGGACAGUGUGGCACAAAGACACCUGUGUGCAGACGAUCUCUAUAUGCAGCAGACCCAGCGGAAGACUGUAGAACAAGGGAUCCAACCUGAGACAACCUGACUGUAGAAAAUGGGAUCCAACGCCUCAGAGAAAUGGCAGUGGCAGAGAUUAUCUUCUCAGAUGAAAUAACAACUAGGAAUCCAGACUUGGUACCAUGUACAUCUGUAUGUGGUGAAAAUUUGUACAGCUUGGGCCACAUGAAUACACUUCUGCUUUAGCAAUAAUGAAGUGGGAUGAGAGGGAUGAGACCGUGCUCGAAAUGGCGAAGAAGCUCCGAGCAUAUGCAGAUGCUGUACAUGGCCCAACCCAUGCCAGAAUUGCAGCAGUGGAAACACGUCUGCAGAAAUUAGAAGAUAAGAUAGAGGAGAAUCAUAAGAGACUCGGGGAGCAGAUUAAAGAGGACCUUCUCCAAAUCUCAGCAGUACAGAUCAGAGGUUCUGGUAUCCAACGCAGACGUUCCUCAGAUGGUGAGAGGAGGUAAACCCCAAGAGCUGAGCUGUGGUUCUUCCUGCGUGACUGCGGAGAAAACAUGAGGAGAUGGGACAGGAAAUCUACUGGUGCUCUGGCACAACGGGUGCGUGAAUUGAAGGAAGGUAAGACUCAGAGAGGAAGUGCCACCAAAAGGAGAGCAGCUCCAGUUGCCCGUAGCCAAACUGCCAGGCAUGAUGAUGAUGAUGAUGAUGAUAACAUGUCCAAACCCCUGGAAGGAACCUCCAAGACUUAUGCCCAAGGCAAGAAGGAUAACCAGGCUUAGAGGGGCCCUGCCUCUAGUCAGGUAGAUGUGAGGGAAAACCGUGUUUUUAGACUGUGAGGAUUCAUUGGCCUGGCACAUCUGAAUAACAAGAAUGCAAAACUUUGGUCGACACUGGUGCAAAAUGCACAUUAAUUACAUCUAGACGCAUUGGGGCAAAAUCUGUCUCCAUCACUGCCGUGACAGGUGGAUCACAGGACUUUACCGUGGUGGAAGCUGAUGUAAGUCUGACAGGAAAUGAGUGGAAGAAACACCCUAUUGUGACUGGCCCAGAGGCCCCAUGUAUUUUGGGCAUAGAUUACCUUCGAAGGGGGUAUUUUAAAGCCCCAAAGGGACUCAGGUGGGCAUUUGGGAUAGCAGCUGUAGCGACAGAGGGCAUCCAGCAACUGAACACCUUGCCUGGACUGUCUGAGAAUCCAACUACAGUAGGACUUUUGAAGGGAGAAGAACAAAAGGUACCAGUUGCCACUUCAACAGUGCAUCGCUGACAGUACAGAACAACUCGAGAUGCUGUGGUUCCCAUCCAUAAGAUGAUCCGAGAGCUGGAGAGCCAAGGGGUGGUCAGCAAAACCCACUCACCCUUCAACAGCCCCAUCUGGCCUGUGCGUAAAUCUGAAGGAGAAUGGAGAUUGACUGUGGACUACCGUGCAUUGAAUGAAGUGACUCCACCACUGAGCGCUGCUGUGCCAGACAUGCUGGAACUCCAGGACGAGCUGGAGUCCAAGGCAGCGAAGUGGUACGCCACUAUUGAUAUUGCCAAUGCAUUUUUCUCCAUUCCUCUGGCAGCAGAAUGCAGGCCUCAGUUUGCCUUCACGUAGAGGGGUGUGCAGUACUCCUGGAACCGACUGCCCCAGGGGUGGAAGGGUUCCCAAGUGUGGCCACAGACAAGAGCAAUGGGAUCCAGCACACUUACUUGAUUCAUCGAGCACCAUUUCUAUGCCUUUGAAUAUCUUUGCUAUCCCUUUCUUAGCCAGAAUGCCAUCAGCCACAGUUGCUGGACAUCAGGUACAUGUGCAAAUAAAAUCAAACAGAAAACCAGGACAUUUAACAAGGAUCUUUCUGCAGGGAAUUCCAGGACUGCCCUGAGCAGGUUCUGGGGCAGAACACAUCCCACACCUGGCCCAGGAGCCAAGAGCUCCUGUGCACCAGGAGCCCCUCAGCAGUGCUGGGGGGUUCCUGACCCUCAGGGCCCACUGAGGCUCUCCUGGGCCAGGAAGCUGCCUCAGCUGCCACAGCACUCGGGCACCACACAGGUGCCUCAGUCCCACCAGAGGCACCCACCAGAGGGUGAGACUCUUCUGCCUCACACUUGGGAGUGGAGAGGGAUCUCCCAGGUCCCUUCUCUGUCCCUUGGCACAUUCACAGCCUGACCCUCAAAGCCCUGCUCAGCAACACCCCCUGCUAGAGUAGGACGUGUCCCUGGCCAAAGGAGGUCACCCCUCUGGCCAAACUGAUCCCAGCCCAAGGGCCAGGCCUCUGCUGUGCUCUGGAAGGGGUUCUGCAGGGAAUGUGCCCAGGAGAGAGACCUUCACUGGCCUCACUUCUCUCAGGGAUAACACAUCCCAUCCCAUCCCAUCCCAUCCCAUCCCAUCCCAUCCCAUCCCAUCCCAUCCCAUCCCAUCCCAAGGGUUCCCCAGUGUGGCCACUGACAAGAGCAAUGGGAUCCAUGACUCCACACUUACUUGUGGACGACGUUUGUCGUUCUUGGUUAUGCUGAGAUGAGCUCUUUGUUUCUGUAGACAUUAGGUUCACU